rnacentral:rRNA from 1 species
GACGAACGCUGGCGGCGUGCUUAACACAUGCAAGUCGAACGGAAAGGCCCUGCUUUUGUGGGGUUCUCGAGUGGCGAACGGGUGAGUAACACGUGAGUAACCUGCCCUUGACUUUGGGAUAACUUCAGGAAACUGGGGCUAAUACCGUAUAGGAUCUCCUGCUGCAUGGUGGGGGUUGGAAAGUUUCGGCGGUUGGGGAUGGACUCGCGGCUUAUCAGCUUGUUGGUGGGGUAGUGGCUGACCAAGGCUUUGACGGGUAGCCGGCCUGAGAGGGUGACCGGCGACAUUGGGACUGAGGGACGGACCAGACUCCUACGGGAGGCAGCAGGGGGGAAUAUUGCACAAUGGGAGGAAGCCUGAUGCAGCAACGCCGCGUGCGGGAUGACGGCCUUCGGGUUGUAAACCGCUUUCGCCUGUGACGAAGCGUGAGUGACGGUAAUGGGUAAAGAAGCACCGGCUAACUACGUG